AUAGGCUAUGUGGAGGGACUUGAUAAUAUGGGUUAAUGUAGUAACCACAACGUUGCUCAUGUGAAACCUUCAUAAGAUUGUAUAUCAAUGAUACCUUUAAAAAAGGGAGAUGAGUUGGGUUGCCUCUAGUGAUGUUUAACCCAUCUACAUGUUCAAGCUUUAUUUGGGUUUGAUAACACUAAUUAGAUACCUUUUUUAUUCUUGACAUAAUGAGAAAUAGAGCAGAUAAAAGCAUUUUUCACUAACAGAACUGGAUAUACAGUUGACGUUUGUUGUUCACAACCAUUAUUAUGCCCAUAUUAUCUAUCCUUUUAUUCACAAAACACUUUUCAACAGUGAAGAUUAAACCACCUACUAGCACUAAAAUAAUCACUUGCAUGUGACAUCUAGAAACACUUUCAGCUACCUUUGUCCUUAUAGGUGUAUAUUUAGCAAAAAUUCUGAAUUCACUUGAUUUAGGAAGAUGCCUGUAGCUAACCAAGCUGGUGAGACAGGGACCGUGGAUGUAGUCAGGGUAGGGUGAGGGCCUCGGGAGGGGGCAGGGUGGGAUAUUUGCAGUCAGAGCAAUGUAACUACAUGCAAGGAAACCCCCCUACUAAAACUCUAUGUUAAACAUUGAGCUCUAGAAUCAUUCUUCAGUGAAAUCAGUUAAUGUUCCCCAGGUAAAGAAGAGGAGCACAUGUUUUAUUAUGCUAACCAUUUAUAAUCAUGUGUAACGUUCUCUUUAGCAUGCUAAAAGGCCCAGGCUUAUGUGCAGUCUUUCUCCUUCAGAUCUGAUGAAGUGAUUUUGCAAACUGGGCAACUAAUUCAGCAAGUAAGCCCAGGCAUAAACAACACAGUAAAAGGCAGGAAGGAUUCCACCUUAAAGAUAAGAUUGCAUUUUAAUACCCAAGAAGUUAAGACGUUAGAAAUUCUUAACUUACUCUUUAGCAAACAAUACCUCAGCCCACCUUGGGGGCUGAGCAGGUGGCCUUGUUUCAUAUGCUCCCAGACCAAGAUGCUGGUAUCUCAGGGAGAAAUCAUCAGAGGAAGUUACUUGUGUUAAAUUAAUUCUAAAUAUUCAGGGACAAUUUAACAAGUCCACACCCCUAAGUUUUUCAUGUUCUCGAAAAAUCCUCAGCUACCAAUAAAACCCCCUAGACAACGCACCACUACGGACUCUCCUGUCCCCUCCUGGCAUGAGCCAGGAGCUCUGCCUUUUCACUGUAUCUCUAAAUAAAAGCCUGUACAUUGCUCUCCUACCUUGACUGUUUGUGAAGCUCAUUCUUUGGCUUUGUGAACAAGAACCUUGGGAAUGUGAACAUGGAUUAAAGCCAAUGAAUUACCAGCUGAGAAGUUGCUCUUGGUAAUAGUAAACUUGAAUUAUUUUGAAGUGCAGGACAGUAUAGUAUACUGUUAUGCAGCUAGCAUGUAUUAAACAUGCAUUGAUAAAGAUAAGUUAUUUGACCCUCUCAUUCCCUUAUAUAAUAAACUUAUAAUAUUGUUUCAAUUAAAUGAACUGUGGUAAUAUUUACCACCAGUUUGAAAAGCAGGAUGCCCUGUAAACUGCUGUGGGGUGCAAGGAGAUGGAGCACAUAGAUGUGAUGUUAAAAAUCAUGGUAGUGUUAAAAUUUAGGCCUUUCUUUUCUCUUGGGACUGAAUCAACAUUGAUGAUGUAACGACUGGAGUUUGAAGGCAUACAGAAAAUGCAGUUGCAUCCUACCCUCUUGUGGUGAUAUGAUGCAUAGCUCUCUGCUCAUCUGAAACCCUGACAUUUAUAAAGAGAAAGAUGAACAUACUUUGGUCCUAAUACUAGUCCUUAGUUUGAGGUUUUGAGGUUUUUCCAUCCUUUCUGUUCUAAACAAUGCUUAGAAGUAAUAAUAACCUACUCCCCUGGUAGUUCCAGGGGAAAAUUUUAUAACCAGGUAGUGUCUAGAUAGUUCAAAAGCAUUAAUUUUCCCCCUAGUCCAAUGUUAGUGAAGAAUUUUAAAUUAUUCACUUAAAUUACAAAUUUGAAUCUUCUCAGUUAAAAGCUAAUACCCACCACUGAAGAGAUAUGCCUGAUUUUGGUUUCAAUGUCAACCAAAUUGCCUAAAUAUUUGCAUAGACAUUAAUAGCCAAAGGCAGGACACCAAUUUAAUUCUGGGUAGAACUAGUCAGUUCCUUUAGUAACACUGCAUUGUGACUAAGUCCAAGUGUUUUGUUUUCUUUUGUUUUUCAAAUUAAAGCCAACUUGUGAUGGUUUAGUGUAAUUGUAGCUACUGAUUUCCAUUGUGUUUUAUAAUCACAAGGCAAUAUCUGUGUCACAGAAUAGUAUUGCCUUGAAACUAUUUUUUUCCCAAUUUUACCUUUCCCAUCUUUUGUCUAAGCCUCAAGUAAUGACCAGUUUUGUUUGUAGUUACAGUGGAAUAACUCCUAAAUUAAACUGUUUCCUACUUUUCUCAGCCUUCUCAAAUCCAAAAAGCACAUGACUCAGCCUCCAUCUAAAUUGGCCCCAGGGAAUGAAUGCUAUUUUAACAGUGAGAGGAACCUAGACUUCCCAGAGAGGAGAUGCGGAGAUAAACAUGUAGCACAAAGGUGAAGGCUGACAAAAGGGAAUCCAGAUGCUGGAGCAGUGAGUGAACAUACAGAAGAAACCUCAAGAAGCAGAUCCAAGGGAGAGGGUAUUCAUUGAAUGAAAGGAAGCUGCUGGAAAUAAAGACAGAAAUGGUGGCAUUGCUUGCCCAGCAAGAUCGUGGUGUCACCCAGACUGACAGAAAGAUAGACACGGAGGUCGCUGGCCUUAAAACUAUUGCUCGAGUCACACAAGCUUGACAAGAUUAAAUAUGUAGCAGG